rnacentral:rRNA from 1 species
UACGAAGGGGGCUAGCGUUGCUCGGAAUCACUGGGCGUAAAGGGUGCGUAGGCGGGUUUUUAAGUCAGAGGUGAAAUCCUGGAGCUCAACUCCAGAACUGCCUUUGAUACUGAGAAUCUUGAGUACGGGAGAGGUGAGUGGAACUGCGAGUGUAGAGGUGAAAUUCGUAGAUAUUCGCAAGAACACCAGUGGCGAAGGCGGCUCACUGGCCCGUAACUGACGCUGAGACUCGAAAGCGUGGGGAGCAAACAGG